rnacentral:rRNA from 1 species
UCCUACGGGAGGCAGCAGUGGGGAAUUUUGGACAAUGGGCGCAAGCCUGAUCCAGCCAUGCCGCGUGCAGGAUGAAGGCCUUCGGGUUGUAAACUGCUUUUGUACGGAACGAAAAGACUCUGGAUAAUACCUGGGGUCCAUGACGGUACCGUAAGAAUAAGCACCGGCUAACUACGUGCCAGCAGCCGCGGUAAUACGUAGGGUGCAAGCGUUAAUCGGAAUUACUGGGCGUAAAGCGUGCGCAGGCGGUUAUGUAAGACAGAUGUGAAAUCCCCGGGCUCAACCUGGGAACUGCAUUUGUGACUGCAUAGCUAGAGUACGGCAGAGGGGGAUGGAAUUCCGCGUGUAGCAGUGAAAUGCGUAGAUAUGCGGAGGAACACCGAUGGCGAAGGCAAUCCCCUGGGCCUGUACUGACGCUCAUGCACGAAAGCGUGGGGAGCAAACAGGAUUAGAUACCCUGGUAGUCCACGCCCUAAACGAUGUCAACUGGUUGUUGGGAAU